ACAAAAAGCCGGAAAGGUCCAUCACACGUACAUAUCGGUACGCAACCAUAACCCAUAUUUCUUUACUACUCCGAAAGAGCGCCUUAGGAAUAUUAUCAAAAGGAUAUUCUGGAAUAGCAAAAAGUGUGAAGUACAACAGGAAGAAUGAAACACUAUAUUCAACUUGUACUCCUGGUUUGUCUUAUCGGAUGUGUCCUGAGCAAGAGUUUAUCUACUGCAGAACACUAUGAAGAGUCCAAAAUAGCCAGAGAAUUACUGCGUAAUAGAAGGCAUGGCCCCGAUGAUGGGAAUCCUACAGAUGAAAGAAGACCAGGAAUCGUUUUCAAAUUGAAUAAAUUCAAAGCGCAUAUUAAUUGAAUUAUAAUGUGCAUGAUGAGUCUUACAAUGUAGUACUUCGAUCUGAAAUAUAUUUUAUUUAUACUUCUUUUCUUAUUCAACCAAUUGACAGUAUGUAGCAGAUAUUAUAUUUGAAUAUACUCGUAUAUAUUGGAAACUCUUUAAGAUUCAUCUUAUUCUUCACUAAAUCAAAAGACUUGAUUUAGCCUACAGCGAUUUUAUUUCUGCAUUCCAAUUUUUCAUGUAUUUUUCUUCACAAUAACUAGAAAUAAAACGGAUUCUAUAGCAUAACUGACUGCUUAAAACAAAGGUUUUGUUUUCAUAUUUAAAUAAAAGAUUUCUUUGAUUGAUACAAAUUUCAAGUUAAAAUUGUGCAUUUACUCAUAUCUUUAGUUAACUGAAACAACUUUUAUAUCUAAAUGUCAUCAUGCAUAACAAAUAGAUAAUUACAAUUAUAUAAAAAUAUGUUUCACUUCUUUUAAAUAUAGCUAUCCAAUACUUAAAUUAUCAUACCAAACAAAAUAAAAUAUAAGAUAAAUAUAAAAUGUUA